rnacentral:lncRNA from 1 species
CAGUAUCAGUACCACUUGACCAUUCCAGUUAAUACAUGUGGAUACUUGGGGGCCCUACCACACUUCUACUUCUUCUGGUUAUAAAUACUUCCUUACUAUAGUUGAUGAUUUUUCUAGGGCAACCUGGACACACUUAAUGGGAUCUAAAAGGUUUGUCUUUUCCACUUGCUUCUAAACAACCUUUUCCUUGUUCUGUCUGCCCUAUGGCCAAAUAGACUAGACUCCCUUUUCAUGACAGCAGUAUCAGUACUACUAGACCAGUCCAAUUAAUAUAUGUGAAUACUUGGGGGCCUUACCACACUUCUACUUCUUUUGGUUAUAAGUGCUUCCUUAUUAUAGUUGAUGAUUUUUCUAGGGCAACCUGGACACACUUAAUGGGAUCUAAAAGCAAUGCUUUUUCCCUGCUUAAGUCAUUCAUCUGUUUUGUUAAAACUCAGUUUAACAUUGUGGUUCAAACUAUUAGAAGUGACAAUGCCUUAGAAUUGGGUUCCAGCAUUUAGGGCAUAUCUUUCUUUAGUAGCCAGGGGAUUAUUCAUCAAACCUCCUGCCCUCAUUCACCCCAAUAGAAUGGUGUUGUUGAAAGAAAGCACAGAACCCUUCUUGAAACAUGUAGAGCCCUGCCCUCAUUCACCUCAACAGAAUGGUGUUAUUGAAAGAAAGCACAGAACCCUUCUUGAAACAUGUAGAGCCCUGCUUUUUCAAUCUGGACUACCUGUGUCUUUCUGGGGGGAUUGUCUGUUGACUGCCACUUACCUUCUUAACAAAAUACCUUCCAGAAUUCUUCACAAUAAGUCUCCUCAUGAAAUUUUGUAUGGCAAAUCUCCAUCCUAUUCUCAUUUGAGGGCAUUUGGGUGCCUUGCUUAUGCUGCUGUCCCUAUUCCUCAAAGGGACAAGCUGCAACCUAGAGCCCUCUCUUGUGUUUUUCUGGGUUACCCCUUUGCCAAAAAGGGUUAUAAACUGUAUAAUUUGGUUUCCAAGAAGUGUUUUGUCUCCCUUGUGUUUUUCUGGGUUACCCUUUGCCAAAAAGGGUUAUAAAUUGUAUAAUUUGGUUUCCAAGAAGUGUUUUGUCUCCAGGGAUAUUGUCUUCCAUGAAACUUGUUUCCCUUUUAAGAAUAAACCUACUUCUGCUCACCCUUCUCCUUCAUCUUUUCCUUCUAUUCCUCCUGCUGAUCAUUUCCCUGACACAUAUUUUCCUAUACAUGCUUCCCCUGAUUCUCCUGUUCCUAUUUUUACUUCUGC